GGGUCAGUAGGUUGGUCGUGCCACCGGUACGUACUGGUCUCACUGAUUCCUCCUUCCUGAAGAACCGUAAUGCCAUUAAUUUGGUGUUGCGGGGAAACAGGACUGUUACUUUGAAAAAAUUAGAGUGUUUAAAGCAAGCUAACGCUUGGAUACAUUAGCAUGGAAUAAUGAAAUAGGACGAUCGAUCCUAUUUUGUUGGUUCCUAGGAUUGACGUA
rnacentral:rRNA from 1 species